CCUCUUCUAGUAUAUUUCCACAAAAUAUGAAUGCACAAAAUCCCCUAAAAAUGAUUUGUUUUUAUAAGUUAGAAAUAAAAUCUGCAUAUUGAGAUGGUCUUUUUGGCAGCGCCAAAACAGUGUAAACACAGAUCUGUGACCGAGGUGAGCUCCAGCCGCUGUUGUGUUUAUUUUACCUGUCCCACGAACACAACAGCGGCCUGGCCAACAUUCAGCGACCUGGAGACACAUUACCAAAUGACUGCUGCGAGGGGAGGCUUGGCUAGCUGACUAACUGAAAUAAGCCUCAAGAUCAAUGCAAACCGCAAGACCUUACACCAUAUAUAAUACAAUGAAGGAUAUUAUUGUUACUACUGUUUAUCCAAGCCAGCAUCACCACCACCACCACCACCACCACUUCAAGCUUCGUAAAAGCACUCAUCCAGGUGGAGGUAGAACCAGUGGGACGAUGGUUCCACAUAUAUGAGGCACGGCGUCUGCGGGGCCACCUCACCUCCUCAGUUGGGGAAAGUGAAGAGGAGAGUGAGGAGGAGGAGGCUCAGGAGGUGGAGG